rnacentral:rRNA from 1 species
AUACGGAGGGUGCAAGCGUUGUUCGGAAUCACUGGGCGUAAAGGGCGCGCAGGCGGUUUGGUAAGUCAGAUGUGAAAGCCCACGGCUCAACCGUGGAAGUGCAUUUGAAACUGUCAGACUUGAGUACUAGAGGGGAAAGUGGAAUUCCCGGUGUAGAGGUGAAAUUCGUAGAUAUCGGGAGGAAUACCGGUGGCGAAGGCGACUUUCUGGCUGAAUACUGACGCUGAGGCGCGAAAGCGUGGGGAGCAAACAGGAUUAGAUACCCGAGUAGUCC